rnacentral:lncRNA from 1 species
CUUUUCUGGAUAAAUAUCGAAAGAAUUUAUUUUUAUUUUUUUGAAUUAUCGAUAACAUUUUAUCGUUGUAAACAAUAGAAAUAAUAUUAGAUGUAAAGCUGAAACAGCUCUGAAAAGAAAGAAAAGUUUGUAAGUUUGAAAACAUCAGAAACAAAAUGUUAAGUUUUGAAGUAGGCAGUGUUGUGUGGUGUAUCUAAAUCGACCAAUCUCCAAUGACUAAAAGUUGUUCCUUCGUCAUGUGACGUCUCCCCACUGGCAUAAAGCCCAAAGACUGCUUUUCCUAGCGGGGGAGUUACUUGGGUUUGUAAUCAAUCGGUUUGUUAGGUGAAGUGAAGCGUAAGUCGUUCUUUGCUUUUUUAGCCGGGAUGGCGCCAUGAUAGGAUUAUCCACUACGUUACGUUCAUCUAGCAAAGACGUGAUGAACCAGCAUUCGCCCCGUCAGAACAGCCCUAUGGGGUCGCCUAGAUCUCCUCGUAUAGCACUGGCUAAGCUGCAAGGUAAAAUGUAUUUACCCAAACUACAACUGAGGAGACGUCACACCGCUAACAUACCCGAAACGAACGAUGGUGCCUUACUCCGUCGUCAUUCCGUCGAUCCUGAUCGGAGGCGCGCUUCUGGAUUCCAU